GAUGAACGCUGGCGGCGUGCCUAAUACAUGCAAGUCGAGCGAACAGACGAGGAGCUUGCUCCUCUGACGUUAGCGGCGGGCGGGGGAGUAACACGUGGAUAACCUACCUAUAAGACUGGGAUAACUUCGGGAAACCGGAGCUAAUACCGGAUAAUAUAUUCAAACGCAUGGUUCAAUAGUGAAAGACGGUUUUGCUGUCACUUAUAGAUUGAUCCGCGCCGCAUUAGCUAGUUGGUAAGGUAACGGCUUACCAAGGCAACGAUGCGUAGCCGACCUGAGAGGGUGAUCGGCCACACUGGAACUGAGACACGGUCCAGACUCCUACGGGAGGCAGCAGUAGGGAAUCUUCCGCAAUGGGCGAAAGCCUGACGGAGCAACGCCGCGUGAAUGAUGAAGGUCUUCGGAUCGUAAAACUCUGUUAUUAGGGAAGAACAAAUGUGUAAGUAACUAUGCACGUCUUGACGGUACCUAAUCAGAAAGCCACGGCUAACUACGUG
rnacentral:rRNA from 1 species